rnacentral:rRNA from 1 species
AUGAACGCUAGUGACCUUAUUGUGUACGUAGCCUUCGUCGACAAUGGUGAUGAGGUCUACGCCACAUAUAGCCUCUCGGACGGCGCGCCACCCACAAGGUCAGUCCUUACCUAUUCUGGCGUGUAUCAGUUCGAGAGCUGGAGCAGCAAGUCGUUGGUGUGGGAUAUCAUUUCCAAGUGGCCGUCUGCUGAAUGCAAUGGCUAUGGCUACUGUGGCCCGUAUGGCUACUGCGAUGAGACAUUGGCGCCAAUCCCAACUUGCAAGUGCCUAGAUGGCUUUGAGCCGGCAAACAAGGAGGAGUGGUUCAGUGGCAGGUUCUUGGCAGGGUGCCAGCGGAAGGAGCUGUUGCACGCGUGCAGCAGUAGCUACUUGGCCUUAUUGGGGAUGAAGGCACCAAGUAAAUUUGCGCUCGUCGGAGGGGGCAGAAGUACGUCUGAGGAGUGUGUCGCAGAGUGCAACCGCAACUGCUCCUGUGUGGGGUACGUGUAUCGCAACGUCAGCAGCGGCAGGUCCGGAGGAGACACGACUAUGUGUUUGGUGUGGGCUGGGGAUUUGAUUGACACCGGAAAGAUAAGCGCAGAGCUCGGAGGAGAGACACUCUAUCUCCGACUUGCAAAUACAAAUGCGGCAGGUAAAAAGAGAAAGAGCAAUGCAUUCAGGAUUGUGCUGCCAGUUCGAAGCGGUGGUCUUCUCAUACUCAUAUGCAUAACUCUUGCAUGGUUAAAAUGCAAAGGCAAGAACAAAAAAUGGAGUAUGCACAAGAACAUAAGAUUGGGUGGUAUGAGUGCCUCUGAUGAACUUGGGGAAGAAACCCCUCCUCAUGAUCAAGAUUUUCCAUUCGUAAGAUUAGAAGAAAUUGUCCUUGCAACCCACAAUUUCUCCAAAGAAUCUAAGAUUGGACAAGGAGGAUUUGGCAAAGUCUACAAGGGACUAUUGGGUGGUCAAGAAGUCGCAGUCAAAUGGCUAAGUAGAGAUUCUCAACAAGGAACAAAAGAAUUCAAGAACGAAAUAAUUCUAAUUGCAAAAUUGCAACAUAGAAAUUUGGUUCGACUUCUUGGGUGUUGUGGUGAAGGAGAUGAAAAGCUCUUGAUAUAUGAGUAUCUGCCUAACAAGAGCUUAGAUGCUACCCUAUUUGAUGACUCAAGAAAAUUGUUAUUGGAUUGGACAACACGGUUUAAUAUAAUCAAAGGCGUUGCAAGGGGGCUUCUAUAUCUUCACGAAGACUCAAGGUUCACCAUAAUUCAUAGGGAUCUAAAAGCUGGAAAUAUUUUGUUGGAUGCAUAUAUGAAACCCAAGAUAGCGGAUUUUGGUAUGGCGAGGAUCUUUGGUGAUAACCAGCAAAAUGAAAAUACUCAACGCGUAGUUGGAACAUAG